UUGAAGUGGGACAUAUGAAGUUAUGUCCACAACUACGAGGGGUGCUCAACCAGGCCUGGGAGAGAAAAUUACUGAUAUCCACAAAACCAAAUCAGAUAAGCUCUUUGCUGGUCAGAACACCGAAGAAGAUGAAUAAAUCCUCCCAGCACAGAUUAAGUGCACAAAGCGUUUUUGUCUGACUUACAAACUGACUGACAAUAACUCAUGACUUGAACUUUCCAAGGGCUGACAAACCCUUGAGGAUGGCUCCAAGAAAUAAAGAAGCAAAGGACAGAAAACACAGUCGUGUACAUCUAGUGAUCAUCUGGUAAUGUGCAUCAAAACACAAAAAUAGCAAUACAGAUAUAGAUGCCUGUGUGGUACAUGGAUGCCACUUCAAAUGUAUUUUACAUCAAAAUAAAGACAGUUUGUCUUUCACAGGGCUGGCAAAGGCAUAGUCUAUUAAAGGUUGUGUAUGCUGACAUAAAAAGAAACAAAAUCAUGUAUUGAUUUUUCUCGCAAAGCCAAAAAUGGGAAUUACAAACAAAGAGAAAACACCAUGGAAAAUCAAUGAAUCUGCUGUCAUAAUUACCACAGGGAUCAAACAAAUAAAGGCUCCAAAAAUGGUUUAGACAAACAUAAUAAGAACACUGAUGGAAUUUGCUAUAUUGUAUGUUCUUGUAGUUGUAGACAUGGGAAAUAUCCUCAGGGUGUUGGAAAGCUUGAUUAAACAUUAUCAAGUUAUCAAGGA